GGAACUGAUUCAAUAUUUUAGGCACAGUACAACAGUGAAAGCUAGUGCAGGUCUUAGAACACUAUUUCCAAGACCACACUAUCUGCCACCUGAGACAGAAGUCACACUGGAGAAACAUGUCCUUAUAGAUGGCCCAAACACAACAGCGUAUCAUGUGCCUGUCAUGAACAGCAGUCCGUUACAUCUGUACACACAGGGGAGUGGGAAGAGACGUUUGCUUGUAAGACCUGUGGAAGGCUGUAAAGAAUACUGUAACUCUAUGCUAGUGUUCAUGGACCCAGGAGAUGCAUUGUUGUAUAAUCGAGAUAUGUGGCGAGUGUACCUGUCUACCAGUGGUGACACAACCAGUGUGGGAUAUGUUAUUGCAAUACAGAUCUAGAAUCCAAUUAACAGAAUUCUAUAUGUACUAGACAAUGCGUCUCUUUAAUUUUUUGACACAGAGAUUUACCCAUAUAAGAAUCUUUUAUAAACACUAAACUUGCAACCUAGACAGGUCUCAUAAAUUUUCUUAUGCUUUAAGUAAACUAUACAUACAUGUUCCAAGACUGAAAUUGUUGGCUUUAUAUUCGGAAGUAUUUUCAAAUUUGUUUUUGUAUUGAAAUGGAAAAAUACCGCUAGAUAAACAGAGAUAUGAAAUAAGCUUCAAUGGAAUUUUUUUUUUUUUUUAUAAUAAUCGUUAACAUGUUUUAUUUUGUAGCUGGAUAACACAAAAACUGAAAUUGAACUCUUGCAAAAAUAAUGAUAAUAAUAAUGAACUAAUACAGUUGAUGAGGAGGAAGUAUUUCUUAUCACAUACAAAGAAAGAGAUUGUCAUCAUCAAUACAUGUAUACCAAGAACAAACAAAGAGAUUUUUAAGCAUUA
rnacentral:lncRNA from 1 species